rnacentral:misc_RNA from 1 species
GAAAUGCGAUUAGUAAUGUGAAUUGUAGAAUUCAGUGAAUCAUCGAAUCUUUGAACGUACCUUGCGCUCCUUGGUAUUCCUUGGAGCAUGCCUGUUUGAGUAUCAUGAAAUCUUCAAAGUAAAUCUUUUGUUAACUCAAUUGGUUUCUACUUUGGUAUUGGAGGUCUUUGCAGCUUCACACCUGCUCCUCUUUGUUCAUUAGCUGGAUCUCAGUGUUAUGCUUGGUUCCACUCGGCGUGAUAAGUUAUCUAUCGCUGAGGACACUGUAAAAGGUGGCCAAGGUAAAUGCAGAUGAACCGCUUCUAAUAGUCCAUUGACUUGGACAAUACUUUUAUGAUCUGAUCUCAAAUCAGGUAGGACUACCCGCUGAACUUAAGC